CUCCGCUAAAAACCUUCCGCGACCUAACCUCCUCCGCCAAAAAGCCUCCCUUUGCGAAAACAUACCAAAACUUCUUCCGCCGAAACCCUCCUUCGCGUCGCCCGCACCUAGCCUCCGCUCAUUCUACCCACUCACUGCCUCCUCCUCGCUGUCGUACUCACUCGCUCCGCCAUCGUUAGUUGCGGCCAAGAAGAAGGAAGCUGGAGAAGACCCAAUGGAACAGAGAAGUCGGUGGUGCCUCCCCUCUCGCCUCGAGUGAUCCUCCCACAGCCAGCGGAGAAACCGACGUUAGUCUCCAAGGAUUAUGCUACAUGCCGGAGAAGUGCUAUCCAUGACCUUCCCUCUGUGGGUGGGGACAACCUGUUGUGUUGCCCUUUCAUUCCUCUGGGUGGACAAGAACUUGGAAAUAUUUGGCCCCACCCUCACUCUGCUCGGUCUCUUCCUCUCUCUUGGCAUUCGUCCGAUUACUAACGAUUAGGAUCCUAAAAGAAAGGUACACAAGCCUGUUAAAGGUGUAUUGAAAUUGGAGGUUGAAAAGCUUCAUACUUCACUUGUUGAUGUGGACAAUAUCGACGGUGGAAGCAUAAUCAUUGACUCAAAUGAUGAUAGUGAUCGUUUUACUGAAACUUCUCUAGGAAAGCAUCAUAGCAAUGGUCCUGAUAUCUCCAGGAGUGGUAGUUUGAAGUUCAUCGACAUUAAUCGAAAAGAUAUUUAUAGGAAUGUGUCAAUUCCAAUCGGAGAAGAUCAUCCUGAUUUUAGUGAUCAUCUUGGGUCGUAAAAGAAAUUUGUUCAUAAGGAUAUAAAUGCGAAAGGAUGAUGCUGACAUCCAAAAGCAGCCAUUAGAGGCUGAGUUUCCAAAGGAACAAGGUCAAACUCUUGAAAAGUAUACUCAUACACAAAUUGCAGUUGGAGCUAGAAUGGCUUGCUACCAUGAUGAAGUUAAACUUUGCCUCCUUGCUAUUUUGACACCCCAACACCAUCUCUUGUUUACUUUUUUUUCGUGUCAAACUUCUGAUGAAACUUGAAGCUUCCAAGCCUGUAAGUGCUAAUCAUGCUUUUGAUUAGUUUAAUAGGUGGAUUCUGUAUUUAUGUUAAAUCACACGUGUGGAACAUCCUUCCCAUUUUUAAUUGAUAGUUAAAUAUGUAGGUGAUUAUGGGUUAUGCUGCACUUC